rnacentral:rRNA from 1 species
AAGGAAUAUUGGUCAAUGGUGGGAACACUGAACCAGCCAUCCCGCGUGCAGGACGAAGGCCCUCUGGGUUGUAAACUGCUUUUAACAGGAAAGAAACGAGUGGACUUGUCCGCUCCUGACGGUACCUGUGGAAUAAGCACCGGCUAACUCCGUGCCAGCAGCCGCGGUAAUACGGAGGGUGCAAGCGUUAUCCGGAAUCACUGGGUUUAAAGGGUGCGUAGGCGGCCUGGUAAGUCAGAGGUGAAAGCUUCCCGCUCAACGGGAGAACUGCCUUUGAUACUGCCGGGCUCGAAUUGGGUUGAGGCUGGCGGAAUGUGGCAUGUAGCGGUGAAAUGCUUAGAUAUGCCAUAGAACACCGAUUGCGAAGGCAGCCAGCCAAGCCUUGAUUGACGCUGAGGCACGAAAGCGUGGGGAGCGAAC